UACGUAGGGGGCAAGCGUUGUCCGGAUUUAUUGGGCGUAAAGAGCGUGUAGGCGGCCAGACAGGUCCGUUGUGAAAACUCGAGGCUCAACCUUGAGAUGUCGAUGGAAACCGUCUGGCUAGAGUCCGGAAGAGGAGUGUGGAAUUCCUGGUGUAGCGGUGAAAUGCGCAGAUAUCAGGAAGAACACCUAUGGCGAAGGCAGCACUCUGGGACGGUACUGACGCUGAGACGCGAAAGCGUGGGGAGCGAACAGG
rnacentral:rRNA from 1 species